rnacentral:rRNA from 1 species
UUGYCAUUAAUUGCCAUCAUUUAGUUGGGCACUUUAAUGGGACUGCCGGUGACAAACCGGAGGAAGGUGGGGAUGACGUCAAGUCCUCAUGGCCCUUAUGGCCAGGGCUUCACACGUAAUACAAUGGUCGGUACAGAGGGUUGCCAACCCGCGAGGGGGAGCCAAUCCCAGAAAGCCGAUCGUAGUCCGGAUUGUAGUCUGCAACUCGACUACAUGAAGUCGGAAUCGCUAGUAAUCGCGGAUCAGCAUGU